rnacentral:rRNA from 1 species
AUUGAACGCUGGCGGCAGGCUUAAUACAUGCAAGUCGAACGGGGCAGCAAUGCCUAGUGGCGGACGGGUGAGGAAUACGUAGGAAUCUGCCCUUAAGUGGGGGAUAACCAGGGGAAACCCUGACUAAUACCGCAUGAUCUCUUCGGAGCAAAGAGGGGGACCGCAAGGCCUCUCGCUUCUGGAUGAGCCUACGUCUGAUUAGCUAGUUGGUAGGGUAAAGGCCCACCAAGGCGACGAUCAGUAACUGGUCUGAGAGGAUGAUCAGUCACACCGGAACUGAGACACGGCCCGGACUCCUACGGGAGGCAGCAGUGGGGAAUAUUGGACAAUGGGCGCAAGCCUGAUCCAGCAAUGCCGCGUGUGUGAAGAAGGCCUUCGGGUUGUAAAGCACUUUAGCCUGGAAAGAAAAAACUUUGGUUAACACCCAAAGUCUUGACGGUACCAGGAGAAUAAGCACCGGCUAACUCUGUGCCAGCCGCCGCCGUAAUAC